rnacentral:rRNA from 1 species
CCCGCUGAACUUAAGCAUAUCAAUAAGCGGAGGAAAAGAAACUAACAAGGAUUCCCCUAGUAACGGCGAGUGAAGCGGGAUGAGCUCAAAUUUAAAAUCUGGUAGUCUUUGACUGCCCGAGUUGUAAUCUAGAGAAGUGUUUUCUGUGCUGGACUGUGUACAAGUUUCCUGGAUACGGAACAUCAUAGAGGGUGAGAAUCCCGUCCUUGACGCAGGCUCCCAGUGCUUUGUGAUACGCUCUCAACGAGUCGAGUUGUUUGGGAUUGCAGCUCAAAAUGGGAGGUAAAUUCCUUCUAAAGCUAAAUAUUGGCGAGAGACCGAUAGCGAACAAGUACCGUGAGGGAAAGAUGAAAAGCACUUUGGAAAGAGAGUUAAACAGUACGUGAAAUUGUUAAAAGGGAAACGAUUGAAGUCAGUCGCGUCUACUUGGACUCAGCCUUGCCUUGGCUUGGUGCAUUUCCUUGUGGACGGGCCAGUGUUCAUGUUGGUUGCUGGAAAAAGUGUAGGGGAAUGUGGCUCUUUCGGGAGUGUUAUAGCCCCUGUUCAUAUACAGUGACUGAUAUGGAGUGGUACAGCAUGCUUCGGCGGUGCUUGUGCUGACAUAAUGGCUUUAAACGACCCGUCUUGAAACACGG